AUUGAACGCUGGCGGCAGGCUUAACACAUGCAAGUCGAGCGGAGAUGAGGUGCUUGCACCUUAUCUUAGCGGCGGACGGGUGAGUAAUGCUUAGGAAUCUGCCUAUUAGUGGGGGACAACAUUCCGAAAGGAAUGCUAAUACCGCAUACGUCCUACGGGAGAAAGCAGGGGAUCUUCGGACCUUGCGCUAAUAGAUGAGCCUAAGUCGGAUUAGCUAGUUGGUGGGGUAAAGGCCUACCAAGGCGACGAUCUGUAGCGGGUCUGAGAGGAUGAUCCGCCACACUGGGACUGAGACACGGCCCAGGCUCCUACGGGAGGCAGCAGUGGGGAAUAUUGGAAAAUGGGGGAAACCCUGAUCCAGCCAUGCCGCGUGUGUGAAGAAGGCCUUAUGGUUGUAAAGCACUUUAAGCGAGGAGGAGGCUACUGAGACUAAUACUCUUGGAUAGUGGACGUUACUCGCAGAAUAAGCACCGGCUAACUCCGUGCCAGCAGCCGCCGUAA
rnacentral:rRNA from 1 species